GACGAACGCUGGCGGCGUGCUUAACACAUGCAAGUCGAACGGUAAGGCUCCAGCUUGCUGGGGUACACGAGUGGCGAACGGGUGAGUAACACGUGGGUGACCUGCCCUGCACUUCGGGAUAAGCCUGGGAAACUGGGUCUAAUACCGGAUAGGACCGCACCGUGAGGGUGUGGUGGAAAGUUUUUUCGGUGUGGGAUGGGCCCGCGGCCUAUCAGCUUGUUGGUGGGGUAAUGGCCUACCAAGGCGGCGACGGGUAGCCGGCCUGAGAGGGUGGACGGCCACAUUGGGACUGAGACACGGCCCAGACUCCUACGGGAGGCAGCAGUGGGGAAUAUUGCACAAUGGGCGGAAGCCUGAUGCAGCGGCGCCGCGUGGGGGAUGACGGCCUUCGGGUUGUAAAUUCCUUUCACCAUCGACGAAGGGUUUCUGACGGUAGAUGGAGAAGAAGCACCGGCUAACUACGUGCCAGCAGCCGCGGUAAUACGUAGGGUGCGAGCGUUGUUCGGAAUUACUGGGCGUAAAGAGCUCGUAGGUGGUUUGUCGCGUCGUCUGUGAAAUUCCGGGGCUUAACUCCGGGCGUGCAGGCGAUACGGGCAUAACUUGAGUGCUGUAGGGGAGACUGGAAUUCCUGGUGUAGCGGUGAAAUGCGCAGAUAUCAGGAGGAACACCGGUGGCGAAGGCGGGUCUCUGGGCAGUAACUGACGCUGAGGAGCGAAAGCAUGGGGAGCGAACAGGAUUAGAUACCCUGGUAGUCCAUGCCGUAAACGGUGGGUGCUAGGUGUGGGUUUCCUUCCACGGGAUCCGUGCCGUAGCUAACGCAUUAAGCGCCCCGCCUGGGGAGUACGGCCGCAAGGCUAAAACUCAAAGGAAUUGACGGGGGCCCGCACAAGCGGCGGAGCAUGUGGAUUAAUUCGAUGCAACGCGAAGAACCUUACCUGGGCUUGACAUAUACAGGAUCGCGCCAGAGAUGGUGUUUCCCUUGUGGCUUGUAUACAGGUGGUGCAUGGUUGUCGUCAGCUCGUGUCGUGAGAUGUUGGGUUAAGUCCCGCAACGAGCGCAACCCUUGUCUUAUGUUGCCAGCACGUUGUGGUGGGGACUCGUAAGAAACUGCCGGGGUUAACUCGGAGGAAGGUGGGGAUGACGUCAAAUCAUCAUGCCCCUUAUGUCCAGGGCUUCACACAUGCUACAAUGGUCGGUACAGUGGGUUGCCAGUCCGUGAGGACGAGCUAAUCCCGCAAAGCCGGUCUCAGUUCGGAUCGGGGUCUGCAACUCGACCCCGUGAAGUCGGAGUCGCUAGUAAUCGCAGAUCAGCAACGCUGCGGUGAAUACGUUCCCGAGCCU
rnacentral:rRNA from 1 species